rnacentral:rRNA from 1 species
UACGAAGGGGGCUAGCGUUGUUCGGAAUUACUGGGCGUAAAGCGUGCGCAGGCGGCUUCUCAAGUCAGGGGUGAAAGCCCAGAGCUCAACUCUGGAAUUGCCUUUGAGACUGAGUGGCUUGAGUACGGGAGAGGUGAGUGGAAUUCCCAGUGUAGAGGUGAAAUUCGUAGAUAUCGGGAGGAACACCGGUGGCGAAGGCGGCGACCUGGGUCGAUACUGACGCUGAGGUGCGAAAGCGUGGGGAGCAAACAGG